UGGGGAAUAUUGGACAAUGGGCGCAAGCCUGAUCCAGCCAUGCCGCGUGAGUGAUGAAGGCCCCUAGGGUUGUAAAAGCUCUUUCGCCAGGGACGAUAAUGACGGUACCUGGAUAAGAAGCCCCGGCUAACUUCGUGCCAGCAGCCGCGGUAAUACGAAGGGGGCUAGCGUUGUUCGGAAUCACUGGGCGUAAAGCGCACGUAGGCGGAUCUUUAAGUCAGGGGUGAAAUCCCGAGGCUCAACCUCGGAACUGCCUUUGAUACUGGAGGUCNCGAGUUCGGGAGAGGUGAGUGGAACUGCGANUGUAGAGGUGAAAUUCGUAGAUAUUCGCAAGAACACCAGUGGCGAAGGCGGCUCACUGGCCGAUACUGACGNUGAGGUGCGAAAGCGUGGGGAGCAAAACAGGAUUAGAUACCCUGGUAGUCCACGCCGUAAAACGAUGGAUGCUAGCCGUUGGGGAGCUUGCUCUUCAGUGGCGCAGCUAACGCUUUAAGCAUCCCGCCUGGGGAGUACGGUCGCAAGAUUAAAACUUAAAUGAAUUGACGGGGGUCAUAGCUGUUUCCUG
rnacentral:rRNA from 1 species